ACCGGCGGUGUCAAGAGCCACUAC
rnacentral:siRNA from 1 species